UGGGGAAUAUUGGACAAUGGGGGGAACCCUGAUCCAGCAAUGCCGCGUGUGUGAAGAAGGCCUGAGGGUUGUAAAGCACUUUCAGUGGGGAGGAGGGUUGACAGGUUAAGAGCUGAUUAAAUGGACGUUACCCACAGAAGAAGCACCGGCUAACUCCGUGCCAGCAGCCGCGGUAAUACGGAGGGUGCGAGCGUUAAUCGGAAUUACUGGGCGUAAAGGGUGCGUAGGUGGUUAAUUAAGUUAUCUGUGAAAUCCCCGGGCUUAACCUGGGCAGGUCAGAUAAGACUGGUAGACUCGAGUAUGGGAGAGGGUAGUGGAAUUUCCGGUGUAGCGGUGAAAUGCGUAGAGAUCGGAAGGAACACCAGUGGCGAAGGCGGCUACCUGGCCUAAUACUGACACUGAGGCACGAAAGCGUGGGGAGCAAACAGGAUUAGAUACCCGGGUAGUCC
rnacentral:rRNA from 1 species